rnacentral:lncRNA from 1 species
UGUAGAUCCGAAUCAGACAAAAAAGAAAGAAAACAUAAAUCGGAAUUCAAAACCCUAGAAAACGAACUUCAACGGAGACUACAGAAAACAACUAAAAAGCUCAAUUUCCGGUAAAACCUUGAAGAAAUUUCGAAGAAGGCAGUAAAAAAAAUGGCUGAUUUCAAGCUGAGAGAUGGAUUAAUCGGAACCGAAACCCUAGAAAACAGAGUAAGAUUCAAAACAGAAACAAUACAAACUCGAGAAUCUAGAAAUGAAGAUAGUAAAAUCAACAGAUUCAGACUCUUUCUCUCUCUCUUUCUCUAAUCUCUAUCGCGUAGGAGCUAAGGAAAAGAUUUCAGAAAAGCUAGGGUUGGCGAAAUCUGCAAUGUACGUACCUUGUUUCAGCUCAGGG